rnacentral:snRNA from 1 species
GUGCUCGCUUUGGCAGCACAUAUACUAAAAUUGGAAUGAUACAGAGAAGACUAGCAUGGCCCCUCUGCAAGGAUGACAUGCAAAUUCAUGAAGCGUUCCAAAACUCU